rnacentral:lncRNA from 10 species
CACAGUGACCCCUUUUCUGGGACACUGACUCUUUCUGAAUAGGACUGGACUCAUCUGUGAGAUGGGGCGACCCUCCCUCACUGGAGCCUGUAGCCAAUGGCUGACUGACAUAGGACUACAAAAAGCUGGCAUCCUGGCCUCAAGGUGAUACUCCAGCUGAGGCCACCUCCUUGUUCAGCUCGUCCCCUGCUCCAUUCUUCUUCCCUCCUUUUCUCCUGAGAUCACUUUCUUAAUCAGCCACCUGCAGAAGAACCCCCAUCUCAGGUUCCACUUUUAGGGAGCUCAACUUCAGACAGGAUUGGCACAGCCAGGGGCUCCAAGGAUGGCCGAUGAGGAACAGUGUCUGAAGUAGUGUUUCCCAAAGAGUCACCCCUCUGGCUAUGUGCAAAUCCAUGGUUCAGACUCCAGACUGUGGAAUCAAAGUUUCUGGAGAUGAAUGUCAGUGCCACAAAUGACCACAGACCACCCCACCCCUGGUUGCUGCUGGCUUUGGAUUGGACUUUUAGUGAACAAGAAAUAAAUUUUUAUUGUCUCAAGUCAUGGAAAUCUUGGGAUUUGUCUAUUACACCAGUCAGUUUUACCUUAACAAACAUACUUGCAAUCUCCAUUAGACAUAGAGAAUAUUUGUGCUCAUUUGCAUGAUGAGAUGAUUUCUUUCCUUGUGUAAAUGGUGACCAGAUGACAACAUUUCUCACAACUGUUGAUAAUGUCAUCUGCCUUCAGUUACUAAUGGUUGUCAUUAGGGUGAAGCUAACUGUCUCAGUUCAAAUGUUACCUCUUUACAAAGGCUCUCCUGGCCUCUCUAUUCAAAGUAUUCUACAACUCACACUCCAGGUAGUUUUAUCCCAUUAAUAAUUUCAGUGGAUGUAUUAGUCUAUUUUCAUACUCCUGAUAAAGACAUAUCCAAGAAUGGGAAGAAGAAGAGGUUUAAUGGACUUACAGUUCCAUGUGGCUGGGAAAGCCUCACAAUCAUGGUGGAAGGCAAGGAGAGGAG